rnacentral:ncRNA from 1 species
UUAAUCAAAUAAAGGGGCAAGAAAGGUAGAAUUUACAGUGAAAUUCUCUUUGUUGGGGCCCAUCCCCAACUUGCUUUGCUUGUUGAAUUUCUCAGUGAAAUUCUCUUUGUUGGGGCCCCAUCCCCAACUUGCUUUGCUUGUUGAAUUUCUCAGUGAAAUUCUCUUUGUUGGGGCCCCAUCCUCUUGUAAAAAAUGGUUUGAUAUGUGUGUAUAUUUUUAA